rnacentral:rRNA from 1 species
GACGGAGGAUGCAAGGGUUAUCCGGAAUCACUGGGCGUAAAGCGUCUGUAGGUGGUUCGAAAAGUCCACUGUUAAAAAUUGAGGCUUAACCUCAAAGAUGCCGUGGAAACUUUCAAACUAGAGUAUGGUAGGGGUAGAGGGAAUUUCCAGUGGAGCGGUGAAAUGCGUAGAUAUUGGAAAGACCACCGAUGGCGAAGGCACUCUACUGGGCCAUUACUGACACUGAGAGACGAAAGCUAGGGGAGCAAAUGGG